CGAAAAGGAUGUAUAUCAUGUGCUAACGAAGAACACUGCUACGGAAAUGAUUGAAGGCAUGAUCAUUGACAAUAAAAGGAUAUCCAACAAGAUGCUCAAUUUGAAUGUUAAUGCUGUCUCGAAGAUGAAAAAAUUGAGAUUGCUCAAAGUCCUUUGCCUCUCAAAUUGUGAUGAACUCAAAUAUCUUCCUAAUGCG